AGUAAUGUCUGGGAAACUGCCUGAUGAGGGGGGAUAACUACUGGAAACGGUAGCUAAUACCGCAUAACGUCGCAAGACCAAAUGGGGGACCUUCGGGCCUCAUGCCAUCAGAUGUGCCCAGAUGGGAUUAGCUAGUAGGUGGGGUAACGGCUCACCUAGGCGACGAUCCCUAGCUGGUCUGAGAGGAUGACCAGCCACACUGGAACUGAGACACGGUCCAG
rnacentral:rRNA from 1 species